UUGGCUUCCUGUCCAAUGCUGUUCACUCUGUCUCCAUGGAUCCAGCUCAAUUGGAAGAAAAAGCAGAUGAAGGCCUGAAUGUCUACUGAGUUUUCAGUGACUUCCUCAAACUUCUCACUUACCUUUCAGUGCUGGCAUCGUCCAGUUAACAUCUCUGAAAGGUACGGAUACAAGUUAUCUACAGGGUAACACCUGUAGAUAUGAUGCAACAGGCUUAUGCCAUUGGAGAGUGAAUAGUCAACCUUCUGAAAACAGUGUACACCACCGGAAGGGCAAGAAAAAAAACUACAAUAUAGAACAUCUUUCUGACCUUGAGGUCAGGAAGUCCUCCUCGACAAGACACAAAAAAGAAAAAUCACAAAGGAAAAGAAUGACAACUUGACUCCAUCAAAAUUAAAAACAGAUAUUGCAUUUUUUUCCAGAUUGAAGGUUUGUGGCAACCCUGCAUCAAGCAAGUCUAUAAGCAUCAUUUUUCCAACAGCCUCCCUAUUCCCUGAGACACAACAAUAUUAAAUUAGGCCAAUUAAUAAUGCCACAAUGGCCUCUAAGAGUUUGAGUGAAAUGAAGAGUUGUCUAUCUAUCUAUCUAUCUAUCUAUCUAUCUAUCUAUCUAUCUAUCUAUAAUCCAUCUAUUUAUUUUUGAGACAGAUUCUUGCUCUGUCGCCCAGGCUGGAGUGCGGUGGCACUAUCUCGGCUCACUGCAACCUCCACCUCCUGGGUUCAAGCAAUUUUCCUGCCUCAGCUUCCCUAGUAGCUGAGAUUACAGGUGCCCAACACUAUGCCCAGCUUUUUUUUUUUUUUGUAUUUUUAGUAGAGAUGGGGUUUCACCAUGUUGGUCCAGCUGAUCUCGAUCUCCUGACCUCAAGUGAUCCACUGGUCCUUGGCCUCCCAAAGUUCUGAGAUUACAGGAGUGAGCCACUGCGCCCGACCAUAUCUCUCAUUUUAAAUGAAAAGCUAUAAAUGACUAACAUUAGUGAGGAAGGCAUGUGGAAAGGUGAGACAGGUUUGAAAGCUAGGCCUCUUGCACCAAUUGGUUAGCCAAGUUGUGAAUGCAAAGGAAUAGUUCUUGGAGGAAAUUAAAGUGCUACUCCAGUGAACAUAUGAAUAAUAAGAAAGUGAUACAUGCUUAUUACUGAUAUGAAGAAAAGUUUUUGUGUCUGAAUAGAAGAUCAAAUCAGCCACAACAUUUCCUUAAACCAAAGCCUAAUCCAGAGAAAGUCUCCAACUCUCUUCAAUUCCAUGAAGGCUGAUAGAGGUGAGGAAGCUAGCAAAGAUUAAAACCUAGUAUAGGCUAAGGAAGAAGCUGUCUCCAUAACCUAGAAGUGCAAGGUGAAGCAGCAACUGCUGCUGUGGAAGCUGUAGCAAGCUGUCCAGAAGAGUUAGCUAAGAUCAUUGAUGAAGGUGGCUACACUAAACAGCAGAUUUUCAAUGUAAACAAAGCAGCCUUCUAUUGCAAGAAGAUGCCAUCUAGGACUUUCAAAGCUAGAGAGAAGUCAAUGACUGGCUUCAAAGGAUGGGCCGACUCUGUUGUUAGGAGCUAAUGCAACUGGUGACUUUAAGUUGAAGCCAAAGCUCAUUGACCAUUCUGCAAAUCCUAGGGCCUUAAGAAUUAUGCUGUUUCUACUCUUCCUGUGCUCUAUAAAUGAAAAAACAAACUCUAGAUGGGAGCCCAUCUGUUUACAGUAUGGUUUACUGAAUAUUUUAAGCCCACCAUUGAGACCUAUUUCUCAGAAUAAGAGUCUUUUCAAAAUAUUACUGCUCAUUGACAAUGCACUUGAUUACCCAAGAGGUCUGAUGGAGAUGUGCAGAAGAUUAAUGUUGCUUUCAUGGAUGCUAAUUCAGCAUCCAUUCUACAGCUCAUGGAUCAAGGAGUAAUUUUGACUUUCAGAUUUGCUAUUUAAGAAAUACUUUACAUAGUGCUCAGCUGCCCUAGUGAUUCCUUUGAUGAAUCUGGGCAAAGUCAAUUGAAAGUCUUUUCAAAAGAGUUCACCAUUCUAGAUGCCAUUAACAACAUUCACAAUUCAUGGCAGGAGGUCAAAAUAUCAACAUUAACAGAAGUUUAGAAGAAGACGGUUCCAACCCUAACAGAUGAUUUUGAGGGGUUCAAGACAUCAGUGCGAUGAAGUAACUGAAGAUGUGGUGGAGAUGUAAAGAAGACUAGAAUUAGAAGCAGAGCCUGAAUUUGGGACUAAAUUGGUGCAAUCUCAGGAUAAAACUUGAACAAACGAGGAGUGGUUUUUAUGGAUGUGUAAAGAAAGGUUUCUUGGUAUGGAAUCUACUUCUGGUGAAGAUGCUGUGAGCAUUGUUGAAACGACAACAAAGGACAUAGAAUAGUACAUAAACUUAGUUGAUAGAGCAGUGAGAUAGGGCUUGAGAGGAUUGACUCCAAUUUUGAAGGAAGUUCUACUGUGGGUAAAAUGCUAUCAAACAGCAUUGCAUACUAGAGAAAUAUUGCAUGAAAUGAACAAUCAAUUGAUGCAGCAAACUUCAUUGUUUUCUUAUUUUAAGAAAUUGCCAUGGAUGCUUCAACUUUAGGCAACAACCACUGUAGUCAGUCAGCAGCCAUCAAAGUAGAGAAGACCCUCCACCAGCACAAAGCUUACAACUUACUCAAGGCCAAGAUGAUUAUUAGCUUUUUUAGCAAUAAAUUAUUUUUAAAUUAUGGCAUGUACGUUGUUUUUUAUACAUAAUGCUACUGGACACUUAAUGGUCUACAGUAUAGUAUAAACAUAACUUUUACAUGCACUGGGAUGCCAAAAAAAUUCAUGUGACUUGCUUUAUUGUGAUGAUCUGGAACCAAACCUGCAAUAUCUCUGAGUUAUGCCUGUACUUGUUUCUUUUUUAUUAAUUUAGUUAUUAUUAAAUGUGUGUAUUUCACUAGACCAG
rnacentral:lncRNA from 1 species